UACAGAGGGUGCAAACGUUGUUCGGAAUUACUGGGCGUAAAGCGCGUGUAGGCGGCACUGUAGGUCGGAUGUGAAAUCCCGUGGCUCAACCAUGGAAGUGCAUUCGAAACCGCAGAGCUCGAGUAUCGGAGAGGAAGGUGGAAUGCUUGGUGUAGAGGUGAAAUUCGUAGAUAUCAAGCGGAACACCGGUGGCGAAGGCGGCCUUCUGGACGAUUACUGACGCUGAGACGCGAAAGCGUGGGUAGCAAAC
rnacentral:rRNA from 1 species